AUGCGUAUAAUUUCCGGCUGAAUCUUUGGUAUUCUAGCUGUAGAAUGUUGAGCUUGUUACGGUAUCUUCUAAAGCUUUAGUACCAGAGGUCCAACUGGGAAUUGCUUGCUG
rnacentral:pre_miRNA from 1 species